GAUGAACGCUGGCGGCGUGCCUAAUACAUGCCAGUCGAGCGAACGGAUGAGAAGCUUGCUCUUCUGAUGUUAGCGGCGGACGGGUGAGUAACACGUGGAUAACCUACCUAUAAGACUGGGAUAACUUCGGGAAACCGGAGCUAAUACCGGAUAAUAUUUUGAACCGCAUGGUUCAAUAGUGAAAGACGGUUUUGCUGUCACUUAUAGAUGGAUCCGCGCUGCAUUAGCUAGUUGGUAAGGUAACGGCUUACCAAGGCAACGAUGCAUAGCCGACCUGAGAGGGUGAUCGGCCACACUGGAACUGAGACACGGUCCAGACUCCUACGGGAGGCAGCAGUAGGGAAUCUUCCGCAAUGGGCGAAAGCCUGACGGAGCAACGCCGCGUGAGUGAUGAAGGUCUUCGGAUCGUAAAACUCUGUUAUUAGGGAAGAACAAAUGUGUAAGUAACUGUGCACGUCUUGACGGUACCUAAUCAGAAAGCCACGGCUAACUACGUG
rnacentral:rRNA from 1 species